UACGGAGGGGGCUAGCGUUGUUCGGAAUUACUGGGCGUAAAGCGCGCGUAGGCGGCUUUGUAAGUUAGAGGUGAAAGCCCGGAGCUCAACUCCGGAACUGCCUUUAAGACUGCAUCGCUAGAAUUGUGGAGAGGUGAGUGGAAUUCCGAGUGUAGAGGUGAAAUUCGUAGAUAUUCGGAAGAACACCGGUGGCGAAGGCGGGAUCCUGGGCCAGUACUGACGCUGAGGAGCGAAAGCGUGGGGAGCAAACAGG
rnacentral:rRNA from 1 species